UACGUAGGUGGCAAGCGUUGUCCGGAUUUACUGGGCGUAAAGGGCGUGCAGGCGGUUUGUUAAGUGCAGAGUGAAAGCUCCCGGCUCAACUGGGAGAGGUCUUUGCAUACUGGCAAACUCGAGGGAGGCAGAGGAAAGUGGAAUUCCCGGUGUAGUGGUGAUAUGCGUAGAUAUCGGGAGGAACACCUGUGGCGAAGGCGGCUUUCUGGGCCUUACCUGACGCUGAGACGCGAAAGCGUGGGGAGCGAACCGGAUUGAGAAACCCGG
rnacentral:rRNA from 1 species